rnacentral:rRNA from 1 species
AAUGAACGUUGGCGGCGUGGAUUAGGCAUGCAAGUCGAGCGAGAACCCCGCAAGGGGGGACAGCGGCGCAAGGGACAGUAAUGUGUAGAUCAUCUGCCCUCAGGUCCGGGAUAGCUGCGGGAAACUGCAGGUAAUACCGGAUAACAUCUCCGGAUCAAAGGUGUGAUUCCGCCUGAGGAUGAGUCUGCAUCCUAUUAGCUAGUUGGCAGGGUAACGGCCUACCAAGGCAUUGAUGGGUAGCGGGUGUGAGAGCACGACCCGCGUCAUUGGGACUGAGACACUGCCCAGACACCUACGGGUGGCUGCAGUCGAGAAUCUUCGGCAAUGGGCGCAAGCCUGACCGAGCGACGCCGCGUGUGGGAUGAAGGCCUUCGGGUUGUAAACCACUGUCAGAGGGGAUGAAAUGCAGGUGGGUUCUCCCAUCUGUUUGACAUAGCCUCAGAGGAAGGACGGGCUAAGUUCGUGCCAGCAGCCGCCGUAA